UACGGAGGGGGCUAGCGUUGUUCGGAAUUACUGGGCGUAAAGCGCACGUAGGCGGCUUUGCAAGUCAGAGGUGAAAGCCCGGGGCUCAACCCCGGAAUUGCCUUUGAGACUGCAUCGCUAGAAUUGUGGAGAGGUAAGUGGAAUUCCGAGUGUAGAGGUGAAAUUCGUAGAUAUUCGGAAGAACACCAGUGGCGAAGGCGACUUACUGGACACAUAUUGACGCUGAGGUGCGAAAGCGUGGGGAUCAAACAGG
rnacentral:rRNA from 1 species